AAUCAGCAGAAGCCACUGUUGGGAAGGUACUCCACAGGAGGAGGGUAAGGGGCAAAAAUAAAUAAAUAAAGAGCAAAACAACAAUCAAAUAACCCCCUCACAUAAAAUCCAACAUUAAUUUGGCCAGCUCCUUGAAGAAAAUAGCCUCAUUGCCAGUCUGGGGUCUCAGCCAAGUUCAGUGUUUGAGGGAAGCUUUGUAGCUGAGGGGCUUUUUGUGAUAUGUGCUCAAGGAAAUCUUAUAUGGCAUCCCAGUCCUGGGCCUCAAGGAUUUCAUUAAGCCAGAACCUGGUUUCACUGACAGAGAUGAGAGUCAGGCUGCAGUGAAGUGGCCAUAUUCACUGAGCAAUCUUCCUGGAAACCAUUUUGUUAAAGGUUGAAAAAAUCAUGUAAGGAAAGAGGACAGAGAACAUCUUAUAGGAGGUAAAAGGUGAGAUGAAGAAAUUGAAGUCUGGAGGAGGUGACUUGCCUAUCUAGGAAAUAUCUGAAGUAGAAUUUGAAUUGGGCUCCCUAAUCCAAGGCUCUAUCCACUGUGCCACCUAGUGCCUCUAAAGAUACACUACAGCAGUAAAGAUCUGGGUUAGGCUGUGCAAAGCCUGAAUUUUGCCCCCCCUGCAUCUGGAACAGAACUGGAACAGCUAAGCACUGAAGGAGGUGGUUCCCGAGCUCUCCUCCCGCCAAGCUGCUGUCAGCCCCUCAGAAGGGCAUGUCAGGGAAGAAGUUAUUGCUACUGACUUUGCUGUGUCUCCUUGUCUGCUGCCCAUCAGACAGCUGGCGCGGAUGCUGAAAGCGUUCCUGUCUCCCCGAAGACUAAAGGCGGCUCAUACUCUCUGCCGUGCUUACAUCGGAGGCGAGGCAGGUGGGGCGGGGGCUGUGUCAGCCCUUUGGCAAAAGCAGACCUUGUGUGGACAUCCAGUGAGCAGCUAGAGGAGAGAAAGGGCUUCUUUCUCAACGACUGACUGCAAGGGGAAGUUUGGUGGUGGCCGCUGCUGCUUCAUUCCCACCCUGCUACAACCUUGAAGACUUUGACUGGCUUCAGCCAGCUCCUUGCCCAGAGGCUGAGUGAGGGAAGGCUGGAUGCUCUGGGAAACCCCCUUUGCCCCUUGAAUUCUGAUAGCGCCAUCACUCUGCUGCUUCCAGAUGUGGCCUCCAGGGUGCCCAGCUCCUUCGUCCUCAGCUGCUCAUGCUGGCAUCUAAGCUAGAACCGCUGUCAUGGUGGCCUUUUUGCUAGUACUUGGCAUGAGAGCUGCCCUUUAAGAUGCUUUCUUUAAUUGCUCCUUAAAUGAUAUUUCUUGUUGCCUUUUGGCAUGCAAUAAACCCAGCUCUCUUCUUUGCCCUCUCCAAGGAGAAUCUGGGAGCCUUCCUUCUGUGUA